GAGGGUAUAGCUCAGUGGUAGAGUGUGUGCUUAGCAUGCACAAGGCCCUGAGUUCGAUCUCCACUACCUCCA
rnacentral:tRNA from 1 species